rnacentral:lncRNA from 1 species
GGAGAAACAGGAAGGGCUCUCUUUUCCUCUCCGCUCCUGUUCCAGCAGCACGAUGUGAUCCACCGGCAAGGAGGGACGCCAAUAAGGCAUCCAAUAAGAUAAGUCUUAUAAAAUAUAUAGGUUUAUGAUAGUUAAGACUGAGCAAACAGAUGAGAAUCCUAGUCAUUGGCCAAGCAGCAUUGUACCUAAUACAAGUUUCUGUGUAUUCAUUUGGGCCUAACUCGGGUGGGCGGCUGCCAUAAAGCUCACAUGUGACGGUGGGGCUCAGGCGGCUUUUGGCAGAAAGAUUUAUCGUAACAAGAGACAGGAGCAGAAAGAGAGGGGAGCAGAGAGAGCAGAAAGAACAGUAAGAGCACAUAAGUGGGCAUGGGUCUGUCUUAUAAAGGGGUCCUUUACACCUGUGUGCAGACAAGUAUUCAUGGAACCCUGGGCUGACCAGAGUACUGCCUGAGUGCAUUCCACCAGGUGACUGGGGCAGGCCAGCAUAAUGCCUGAAUCCUUACACUCAUGGUUUGCCAUGAGGCUGAACUCAUCAUUGUCAGUGUUAACCCUUCCUUCCUGGAAACAAGGAUUCCCCUUUCCCUAGAGGGGUCACUCUCUCCAUUUGGAGAGUCUCUUCUAUUGGUGGAUAAACAUGCAUUAAAAUCAUUCAUGUUUUAAGAAAAAGCUCCCUAAUGCCACAGUCAUGUCUGGCCACCAUUCUGCUUCUUGGCAUCACCCAGCAAGAGCUGCCUACCAUGGUCCAAUUUCCCCAGGUCUCAUCUAUCCACAGCCCCACACUCUUGCACACACGUUAUCCAUGUCACCACUUCUGUGCAACUUUCCUGAGGUAAAAGCCCAUUGACCUUUCCUUUCUCCACGUCCCAGCAGCAUUUAGCAUGCCUGACUUCUCUAGCCUGAUGGAAUCUAUUAACCAGUCACUUGGGGCUCCUCCCAUCUCUCCUCUUGCAGAGGAGAAAAUGAUCCCGCAAUGUAUAGGGCCACAGAGCAGCAGUUGCCGCCCUUUGCGGGACAUGGAGACACUGACCUUACCUCCAUGAGAAGAGACUGCUUUGUACAUGCUCUUGACCCUCACACCUCUUCCUAUCACAAGCAGGCAGAGCAAGUAAAGAAAAGGAGAGAGGAGGCACCUGCAUUGUUACAAGUUUUACAGACUCCCUGCAAUGUCUGCAGGGAGUGGUUUAUAGUCACUACCCACUCAUCUCAUUUCACUCCCAAGUACCCAGUUUUACCAUCUAAACUGUGGAAAGAAAUACAACUUAAUGUAACAAUAAUGUUCACUUGCUAACAGGAGUCAGGAAUGCAGAAAUGAAGAAAAAUUGUCCCUAAAGUUUUUAGUUAUAGAUGAUAGGCAAACCUUGUAAAUUUGAUGGCAGGCCGUGCAAACAAUAGGUCUGCUUUCUUAUUUUAGUGUUGAAACCACAACAAGCCAGUAAACACUCAUUUCAUCUCAAGUCUUGUUGUGGGGCAGAUUUAUCAUCCAUACAACAAACCUAAUUCCAGUAACUGAUGGAAGCAGAUGCAGUGAUUCACAGCCAAGCAGUGGGCUGAGCUCCUAGAGUUCAGCUGAAGAGAGGGAGGAACAUAAGAACAAGGGGGUCAAAAGCACAAUGGGGAAAACCACAGAGACAGUUGACUCAAGCUAGAGGGAGCUCACAGCUAUCGACUGACAGCUGGGGAACCUGCAUGGGACCAAACUAGAACCUCUGAAUGUGGGUGACAGUUAUGUGACUUGAUUUGUUGGACAUGAACUGGCUUUUUGGAGCCCACUCCCUAUGGUGGGAUAUCUUGCUCAACCUUGAUUCAGGGGGGAAGGGGCUUGUUACCUCAACUUUAGUAUGCCAGACUUUAGUAUGUUGACUCCCCAAGGAAGGCCUUACCCUCUCUGAGGAGUGGAGUUGAAGAAGGUUGGGAAGUGGGGGGGGGGUCAGAAGGGGAGGGAAGGAGAACUAGGGUUGGUAUGUAAAAUGAAAAAUAAUUUUUAAAUAAAAAAGAAGUAUCCCCCACCAAAAAAAGAUAUUUUAUUUAUAUGAGUUUUGCCUGUAUGUAUUUAUGUGUACCACAUGUGGACGGAAGAGGACAUCAGAUCUCCUGGAACUGGAGUUAGAGAUAGUCAUGAGCCCCAGUGUGGGUGCUGGAAACUGAACCUGGACCCUCUGUAAGAAUAACCAGUACUCAUAUUUACACUGGUCAGGCUAAAGAUGGAGCAUAGUCAAUUUUAAGGUCAGACUGGCUACACAAUGAGACCUUAUCUCAAAACAACAAAAACACAUCCCCGGACUUAGUAUUUCUCAUUCUUUGCUAUCACGUGGUAAGAUUUUCACAACCUUGGAAGUAUUAUCUUAUAUAUUAGAUCCCUGGGCUCUAUGAGAACUAAAAAAUGGCAGGGCAGACAGUCUAAACAAGAGGCUGGUUGAUGUCGAAGCUACAGAUGACUAUCACAACUUCAAAAUGUGCCAUCAACACUGACUAGCUCCUAGUGAAAUCUAGAAACCCAAUGUUAGCUACAGCCAUUUUCUAGCAAUAUGUUGACUAGCUAGCUGAAUGUCCCCUAAAGAACAAAACUACUAACUCGAAUAUAUUAACUCCCCUACUUAUAUGUUGCCAUAAACCCAAAAUGAUAAUGCUUGGCUUCCCUUUGUAUUUCGACUUAGCUAUUCUUAUUUUAAAAGAUGGAUGUUUUAGCAUUUGAUGAGUAUAAAAUUUCCAUUGUGGAAAAAAAAAAGUCAAGAAUACAAUGGGAAGGAAACAAACAUUACAAAGCCAGAGAAUUAGAAAGGACUUACCACAGUUAAUAUUAAGUCUGGUAUAAAGUAACCAAAUAACUAAAUACAAUAAGGGAAGGGGAGAGAAGGAGGUAUACUAUUUACAUUCCUAAAGUUUCCACACAAUUUACCCUGGAAAGGGGCAACAAAGAAUACCUUAAGUAAGAAAUGUUAAUAUAGCCAGGCAUGGUUAGUGCACACCUUUAAUCCCAGCUCUCUAGGAAGCAAGUUGGUCUCUGAGUACGGGGCCUUUCAGGACUAUAUUGAGACCCUGUCUCAAAAAGAAGAGCUGGGCAUGGAGGUGCUCUCCUUAAUCUCAACACCCUGAUCUCUGAGUUCAAGUCCAGCCUGGUCUACACAGAGAGUUCAAGGACAGCAAGGGCUAUGUAGAGAGAUUCUGUCUUAACACUGCCACCCCAAAUGUUAAUAGUGUCAGAUAACAUACAUGGACCACCAGUAACAUUCCUCAAGUUCCAAAGCCCCACUGGACAGGGAGCUUUACCUAGUUUUCCUUCCACACAGCAAGGAACAGUACUUAAUAGACCCCUACCCUUCCUUUCACACUCCACUUUCAUUCACUAAAUUCUACAUGUAAAUUCAGCAUUUGUAGGUCUAUAUACUGAAGAAGUGACAGUCUAUAAUAAUUAAGUUAUUCUUGAUAUUAGAAGCCAAAAUACUUGGACUGAUGAUGUAGCUCAAUGGUCAAAUGGUUGUCCCAGUUCUGAUCUUCAAAAACCCAGAAAAAUUUAAAACGUGAAGUAAUGGUAAAAAUAAUUAUAGUAUACAUAGUAAUAAACAGUACCAUACAUCUCAUUAAAGUUUGGUUAUCAGUUUAAAUUUUUUCACUUGGAUAUAGUAGUUCAAAUUUGUUAUACAUAGGAAAAGCAUUAACC